AUAUAUAUCUGAGAGAAUCCUAAUGGCAGCUUCGGGCAGAACAAUUACUACAAUUACACGCUUAAAACGGUAUAAUUCGGCAAGGCAGGAAAAGAUUCCUUUGAGUGAACAUUGUACGCAUGGAUGAUAGUAUGAUGGUUUAAUUUGAGAGCAUUGCCAAUUUGGUCUGCCAGCUUAUGUGUGCUAUGGACAUAACUCCAGGAGAAAACACUUGCCGUGGAAGUACGUGUAAAUAAGCACAACACUGUCCACGUAAGGCCG